UUUUUAUUGGUCUCAUGAAAAAAACAAAAGGGGUAACACUGUCGUUUUAAUCAAAUGAAACAUGAGGGGUAACACUGUCGUUUUUAUCAUAUGAAACAUGAGGGGUGACACUGUCAUUUUUCUUUGGUCGUCAUGAAAAAAAAACACAAGGGGUAACACUGUCGUUUUUUAUUGGUCGUCAUGAAAAAAAACAUAAGGGAUAACACUGUUGUUUUUUAUUGGUCGUCAUGAAAAAAAACAUAAGGGGUAACACUGUUGUUUUUUAUUGGUCGUCAUGAAAAAAAACAUAUGGGGUAACACUGUUGUUUUUCUUUGGUCGUCAUGAAAAAAAACCACAAGGGGUAACACUGUCGUUGUUAUCAAAUGAAACAUGAGGGGUAACACUGUCAUUUUUAUCAAAUGAAACAUAAGGGGUAACACUGUCGACAUUUAACCAUUGAAACAUAGGGGGUAACACUGUUGUCUUUGUCAAAUAAAAUAUAAGGGGUAACACUGUCGUAUUUUAUUGGUCGUCAUGAAAAACACAUAACACUGUCGAAAUGUAUCGAAUAAAACAUAGGGGGUAACAGGGGCUCAUCCGUGCGGGAUCUUUGGCUGUUCAAUGGGACUCAGCUCCCAGUUCCUCUAACGGUCUUCGAUUCAAGGAAACAGGAUUUAUUUUUAAUAAGAAUACAGAAAAGUUAGGAAAAAAAAGUGUUGUUGAAAUAAUUGUACGCUGAACAAAGUGAAAUCAUUAAAUUAAUCCAACGCGUGUUUAACAAACACUAGGCUAUAUGUAGCUUAUACACCAAAGGGUUAUGGCGUGUGUUGGAGACAUGAACGCUUUAUUUUCGUAUGUAUUUGCUAUAUUGUGAAAAAAUAAAUAAGAGACCGACUUCAUCUUGGUGUUUCAGGACUCGCUUUCUUCUCAAGGAUUCUCCUUGUUUCCUGGUUUACGUUUCAAACACUAGUCCUUUCUCUCAAUUUUCUAUGAUCAGAAUUCAAACCUGCUCAGGGUGAAAAAAAUAAUAAUUAUGAAGAUGAGAUGUAGACGAAGCCUCUAUCGUGCUUUUUAUUCAGUGAACCCCCGAACUUAAAGUGUAAAUUGAUCCUCUGCUGAACACAGAGAACACAGUGAACCCGCUGAGUCGUUAUUAACCAAACAGAAAAACAGUCCCUCACAUGUACACAAUAAACUCAAGGACUCAAACAAUAGUAGAACAGUCCCUUUAACACAAACACAAUAUCUCAAACAAUAGAAGAACAGUCCCUUACAUGAACACAAUAAACACAAGGACUCAAACAAUAGAAGAACAGAGCCCUGUUUCAGAAAGCUGGUUUAACAGAGAAGGUGGUCUAAAUACAUGAUAGAUUGCGCUGGAAAACGAUAGUGCUCGUGAAGAAAAUUAUCAGGAAAAGAAAGUAUAUCCAACCGGGGUCUUAAUAAUCGUUCCUCACGGAGAUUCCUUCUGAGGAUCGCAGCCUCUACGUCCACAGGCUCUCGUAGAAAUGUACAUGCCAUUUCUAACGCUUCCUUCUGUCGGAGAGCUGCCUCCAGCCUUAUAGACAACAAACUCAGAGUAGGUCUAACCACCUCCCGAGCAGGACUGCGGUCAUGCCAGCCGACUCAUCGAGAUCGGCGGUCAAGCCAGCCGACCCAGUUUUUUGCCUUACCUGUAUAUACUAGCCAUUACGGUAAUAGCGUCUCAGAACUAGUUUAAAGUAAAAGCAUUCGUCGGGUACAUACAAAAAGACAGUCAAUAAAAGCAAAUACUAUCAAAGGAAGUGUACGGCCGUUGUGGUAUUUACUUUCAAAAUAAAAGCCCACCAAACAUUCCAA
ensembl:lncRNA